AAAGGAAUUGACGGGACCCGCACAAGCGUGGAUGAUGUGGUUUAAUUCGAUGCAACGCGAAAAACCUUACCCACCUUUGACAUGUACGGAACCCUUUAGAGAUAGAGGGGUGCUCGAAAGAGAGCCGUAACACAGGUGCUGCAUGGCUGUCGUCAGCUCGUGUCGUGAGAUGUUGGGUUAAGUCCCGCAACGAGCGCAACCCUUGUCAUUAGUUGCCAUCAUUUGGUUGGGCACUCUAAUGAGACUGCCGGUGACAAACCGGAGGAAGGUGGGGAUGACGUCAAGUCCUCAUGGCCCUUAUGGGUAGGGCUUCACACGUCAUACAAUGGUCGGUACAGAGGGUUGCCAACCCGCGAGGGGGAGCUAAUCCCACAAAGCCGAUCGUAGUCCGGAUCGCAGUCUGCAACUCGACUGCGUGAAGUCGGAAUCGCUAGUAAUCGUGGAUCAGCAUGUCACGGUGAAUACGUUCCCGGGUCUU
rnacentral:rRNA from 1 species